UCCAGUGAAGUUGCUUAUCAAGCAUCUUUUACUCAUAUCUGUGCAUAUUUUGUUCAUGUUUUAGAAUAGCUUAGUAGAUUAUUUUUGACUAAUCCACAAAUUUUUAGAAUUUUUAGAGUUGUUUUGAGCAGGUCGAGUUUUCAGAGUAGCCCCAAACCAGUAGUUGCUGCUGAAAAAAAAAUCAGGUGACAUCACUUGCGAACCGCAUGUCAUGCCUGCGAGUCGCAGGAUAAGAUGUCCGGAGAGCAUAACAGAGCAAAAUGGACCAAAAUGGAGCAAAAUAGAGCAAAACAAGCCAAAAUAGAAGAAGCGUGACCUGCGAGUCGCAGGUCACACAUGCGAGCCGCAUGUUCUGCAACAAGUUUGUACAGAGAUUUGGAAAUCUGAAGAAAUAGGAUGCAGCAUCUGCAAGCAUCACCUGCGAGACGCAGGUACCACCUGCGAGACGCAUUCAUGACUGUAUGUGCUUCAAGUCAUCUCUGUACAUUGCAAGACCUGCCAGAGUUUUGCACAACCUGCUAAUUGCAGGUUGAACAUGCGAUACAACAUGCGAGACGCACGUUGUGCACGCAGGGUAUUUUGUCCAGAUUUUGUUCCCGUUUUUGGAAUGUUAUAAAUACUCUUUUAGGGUUUGUAAAACAUAUCUUUGGCCAUUUUCAUACAAGUUUUGGAGAUUAGGUUCCUACACCACACUUUGGGGUUGAAGAUUUGAAGAUUUGGUUGAGCAUUUCUGUUAUAUCCCGUAUUUUUAUACGUCGAGUUAUUCGCAAGAGAAUCGACUCAAGUUAAAGACGGGAUCAUUUUCGGGCACGAAACAGAAAAUCUUUAAUUUCCGGUCUCUAUUAGAAAAUGAAUUGUUUAUGAAUUUUACUUAGUGUAAAAAUAUUAAUGAAAAGUUGGGAUUAAUUACCAUGAUUAGAUUAUUAAGUGAGGAUUAAAAAUUUAAUUAUUCAUUAAACAAGUCACUAGUGCACUAAGUGGGCCCCACCAAGACAUGUGGCCAAAUUUAAUUGGCUCAAGCCUUGAGUGGGAAACUUGUCACUCCUAGGGGCUGAAAAUAUAGUGAAAAAUCUGUGCCCAAACCCUCAUUUUCAUCUUCCACAAUAAGCUAGAGAGAGAGAAAAAAAACAAAAGCCAUGGCAUUCGGCCAUGGCUAGCAAAUUGGAGCUCAAAUUUGUUGAUCCAAAAUCAAAUUUUUCAAAGUAUUCCAACCAGUUAGGAAGGCUAUAAUAACGUGGAUUAGUCAUUUGGAGCAACAAGAACAAGUAUUAGUUUAUUUCACAACUUCUAGCCAAAUUAAGAAGCCAACUUGUUAAGGAUAAGUACUAUUGGGCAGCAAGUACAAGUUAUAAUACGACUAAACGCUAAAGGUAUGUAAAGCGCAAUCCUUCUUACUUUUGGCAUGCCUUAGUUUU